GUAGUCCUAGCCGUAAACGGUGCAUAUUUGCUGUAAAAGGAAUCGACCCCUUUUGUGGCGAAGCUAACGCGAUAAAUAUGCCGCCUGGGAAAUACGGUCGCAAGAUUAAAACUCAAAGAAAUUGACGGGGGCCUGCACAAGCGGUGGAGUAUGUGGCUUAAUUCGAUGCAACGCGAAGAACCUUACCUGGCCUUGACAUGUGUCUAGUAGAAGGGUGAAAGCCUGACGAGAUAGCAAUAUCAGGAUACACAGGUGCUGCAUGGCUGUCGUCAGCUCGUGUCGUGAGAUGUUGGGUUAAGUCCCGCAACGAGCGCAACCCUUAUGUCCUGUUGCCACUUGAACGAGAGUUCGAAGCACUCUGGACAGACUGCCUCGCUUAAACGAGGAGGAAGGUGGGGAUGACGUCAAGUCAGUAUGGCCCUUACGGCCAGGGCUGCACACGUACUACAAUGCCCGGCACAAAGGGAAGCAAGACUGUAAAGUGGAGCAAAUCCCCAAAACCGGGCCCAGUUCAGAUUGUCGUCUGCAACUCGACGGCAUGAAGUUGGAAUCGCUAGUAAUGGCGCAUCAGCUACGGCGCCGUGAAUA
rnacentral:rRNA from 1 species